rnacentral:rRNA from 1 species
AGUCACUGACAUUAGACUACCCCUGUAGUCCCAGCCGUAAACUAUGCGCGUUAGGUGUACUGGUGACCACGAGUCCACCGGGGUGCCGAAGGGAAACCGUGAAACGUGCCGCCUGGGAAGUACGGUCGCAAGGCUGAAACUUAAAGGAAUUGGCGGGGAGCACCACAACGGGUGGAGCCUGCGGUUUAAUUGGACUCAACGCCGGAAAUCUCACCGGAUAGGACAGACAUAUGGUAGUCGGGCUGAAGACUCUACUUGAUGAUCUG